UCACUUAUUCUACAGCACAUGCACUAAAAUUAGAAUGACGCAGAGAAGAUGAACAUGGCCCUUGAGCAAGGAGGACAUGAGAAUUUGUGAGUCACUCCAGACAUUU
rnacentral:snRNA from 1 species